rnacentral:rRNA from 1 species
GACGAACGCUGGCGGCGUGCUUAACACAUGCAAGUCGAACGGAAAGGCCCUGCUUGCAGGGUACUCGAGUGGCGAACGGGCGAGUAACACGUGGGUGAUCUGCCCUGCACUUCGGGAUAAGCCUGGGAAACUGGGUCUAAUACCGGAUAGGAGCCAUUUUUAGUGUGAUGGUUGGAAAGUUUUUUCGGUGUAGGAUGAGCUCGCGGCCUAUCAGCUUGUUGGUGGGGUAAUGGCCUACCAAGGCGGCGACGGGUAGCCGGCCUGAGAGGGUGGACGGCCACAUUGGGACUGAGAUACGGCCCAGACUCCUACGGGAGGCAGCAGUGGGGAAUAUUGCACAAUGGGCGCAAGCCUGAUGCAGCGACGCCGCGUGGGGGAUGACGGCCUUCGGGUUGUAAACUCCUUUCGCUAGGGACGAAGCUUUUUGUGACGGUACCUAGAGAAGAAGCACCGGCUAACUACGUG